rnacentral:snoRNA from 1 species
AAGACUAUACUUUCAGGGAUCAUUUCUAUAGUUGUUUACUAGAAUACAAAUUAGAACAUUAACAACCACCUAUUUGAAAACAGGGUAUAACUGGU